rnacentral:lncRNA from 1 species
GGAUUUGUACACUGACUCCCACUAUUUUCAGGUUGCAUACCCAACUCAACCUGAGCCAAAAUUCAUUUUACAAUUCUGUCUGUAGGUGUUAACUUUCUUCCCACGAUGUUUCCUUGGUUUAUCAGGAUAUUCCUACUGCCCUGAUGCAUAUACAAUGUGAAACACUGUUUCAUCUAUAGGCUCAUUUAUUUCAUUAAUAGUAAUUUUAAUAAUUUUCAUAAUCUGAGAAGGCUUCACUUCAAAAUGAGAAGUCUCAGUAGUAGAACCUUUCAAUCACAAAUUUUGAAUGACUUCAUGGCUGCCCAUCACCAUAUCAUACAUUUGAAGGACCCACUUACAUAAAU